rnacentral:rRNA from 1 species
GAUGAACGCUAGCGGCAGGCUUAACACAUGCAAGUCGAGGGGUAUAGCACUUCGGUGCUAGAGACCGGCGCACGGGUGCGUAACGCGUAUGCAAUCUACCUUUUACAGAGGGAUAGCCCAGAGAAAUUUGGAUUAAUACCUCAUAGUAUUAUGAAAUGGCAUCAUUUUAUAAUUAAAGUCACAACGGUAAAAGAUGAGCA